ACUCAAGCCCAACUCUUAUCAGCAAAUCCGUUCCAAACAUACAACAACAUAUGCAACAACAAUUCCAAACAACACCAAAGAACCGGCCCCUGCUGCUUCUUCUCUCGCGUCCAGCAACGCAGAGAACUCUAGAAAAAUCGUGAACUAAGUCCAUCGAUCCAACUGCAUCCUUCUCCCAUCGUCCUUAUCCUCCGUACGAAGAAUCUUCCAGGUGUCUUAAUCUUGUAGGUUGCCUGAAAUCAAGUGACUCUUCUCUUGUUUCCGUUGAGGAAAUUGUACAAUUUCUUACAAAAGUCCUACGACUACCUUAUCUCCGGAAGGAAUUCAAAUUAUGAAUUCACUCCAAUGCCCCUCUCGAUUUCCCCCCCCUUUUUGAACCCUAGAAAUUCCCUAUAAAUACUCUUUUUUUCCAUUCAUUGUGAGGUUGGUCAUUUUUCACUGAGAGAAGGGUUAGAAAUUUUAGUCAUAUUCAGAAAUUAGCUACAAUACUACUAAGAAAAUACAAAGGUUUUGAGGUAGAAAAUAGAACCAAAACAGACAAGUGAUAUAGAGCAUACUUAAGUUUCGAUUUUGUUUUGGAACUCGACACUUUUCUCUAUUUUUGCAGUCUCAUUUUGGUGAAAGAAUCGUUAUCGUGCUAGCUCGUUCUCCCGUUCACUUUCCAAAAGAAGGGACCUGGUCCCUAGCAGAGUACACUCGUCUAGAUACAAAUGGGGUACAACUGCAAAGUUGUCAUGUCAGGUGAUAGGUGAAAAGUGCAGUGUCCUACACCAAUAGAAAGAGCGUAGGAGAUAGUAUGCUUUAGUGUUUCACACAUGCAGGAAUCCGAUCCCAUGCAGAGUUCUCUCAUUCAGAUCCAUAAUGGGGUACGACUGUAAAGAGGUUGGUGAAGUGUCAUCGUACUACACCAAUCAGAAUGGACGAGGGUGUUUGCUCAACGGGGAACCUGGUCCUUACAAGACUGCGAUAUGAAAAGGUGACAAGACAGCUGACAGAAAAGUUGCCACCUCUGAUAUGAUAGGUGCACAGUUUUUCUAAGCAACAGACUCUCAGCCAAUGAGCGGUCCCAAAGAGUUGUGUUGAUUUUACGUAGUCUCUUCCAACAAAACACAACUCAAGAUUUGGAAAAUUAAAUUCACAAAUUUAAAAAGACAAAGUCAUCUUUAAGGAAGAACUCAAGCACAAGAAAACAUACAACAAGGACCUGAUCAAUUGAAAGAGUGAUUUAUAUACAUGUUUUUGUUCUUAAUGUUUGUAAUAAGCUUAUAUUGUAGGAAUCAUUUCGCUUGUGAUAAAAACGUUUAAUAUUUUGGGUGAAUCGUUCUAAGAACCAGGUUAAGGGUAGUUGAGGUUGUUACUAACAAAAUAUAUUAAUCAAGUUAGAAUUUGUAUAGUGGAGAGUGAUGUAUCUACUUAUUAAUCAAGUUAAAAUUUGUAUAGUGGGCAGUGUUUUAUCUGCUUUGACUCAUCUAAGUAAUAGGUACUAUUGCUUAGGGUGGAGAUUAGCAGGCUAAUCUCAGUUUGUAAACUGUAUUUUGUUUUUGCUUUGAUAAGAUUAACAAAAGCAGUUUGAAAA